rnacentral:rRNA from 1 species
CGUGCUUAACACAUGCAAUGCGAACGAUGAAGCCCAGCUUGCUGGGUGGAUUAGUGGCGAACGGGUGAGUAACACGUGAGUAACCUGCCCUUGACUCUGGGAUAAGCGUUGGAAACGACGUCUAAUACCGGAUACGAGCUUCCACCGCAUGGUGAGUUGCUGGAAAGAAUUUUGGUCAAGGAUGGACUCGCGGCCUAUCAGCUUGUUGGUGAGGUAAUGGCUCACCAAGGCGACGACGGGUAGCCGGCCUGAGAGGGUGACCGGCCACACUGGGACUGAGACACGGCCCAGACUCCUACGGGAGGCAGCAGUGGGGAAUAUUGCACAAUGGGCGAAAGCCUGAUGCAGCAACGCCGCGUGAGGGACGACGGCCUUCGGGUUGUAAACCUCUUUUAGCAGGGAAGAAGCGAAAGUGACGGUACCUGCAGAAAAAGCACCGGCUAACUACGUGCCAGCAGCCGCGGUAAUACGUAGGGUGCAAGCGUUGUCCGGAAUUAUUGGGCGUAAAGAGCUCGUAGGCGGUUUGUCGCGUCUGCUGUGAAAUCCCGAGGCUCAACCUCGGGUCUGCAGUGGGUACGGGCAGACUAGAGUGCGGUAGGGGAGAUUGGAAUUCCUGGUGUAGCGGUGGAAUGCGCAGAUAUCAGGAGGAACACCGAUGGCGAAGGCAGAUCUCUGGGCCGUUACUGACGCUGAGGAGCGAAAGGGUGGGGAGCAAACAGGCUUAGAUACCCUGGUAGUCCACCCCGUAAACGUUGGGCGCUAGAUGUGGGGACCAUUCCACGGUUUCCGUGUCGUAGCUAACGCAUUAAGCGCCCCGCCUGGGGAGUACGGCCGCAAGGCUAAAACUCAAAGGAAUUGACGGGGGCCCGCACAAGCGGCGGAGCAUGCGGAUUAAUUCGAUGCAACGCGAAGAACCUUACCAAGGCUUGACAUAUACGAGAACGGGCCAGAAAUGGUCAACUCUUUGGACACUCGUAAACAGGUGGUGCAUGGUUGUCGUCAGCUCGUGUCGUGAGAUGUUGGGUUAAGUCCCGCAACGAGCGCAACCCUCGUUCUAUGUUGCCAGCACGUAAUGGUGGGAACUCAUGGGAUACUGCCGGGGUCAACUCGGAGGAAGGUGGGGACGACGUCAAAUCAUCAUGCCCCUUAUGUCUUGGGCUUCACGCAUGCUACAAUGGCCAGUACAAAGGGCUGCAAUACCGUAAGGUGGAGCGAAUCCCAAAAAGCUGGUCCCAGUUCGGAUUGAGGUCUGCAACUCGACCUCAUGAAGUCGGAGUCGCUAGUAAUCGCAGAUCAGCAACGCUGCGGUGAAUACGUUCCCGGGCCUUGUACACACCGCCCGUCAAGUCCAUGAAAGUCGGUAACACCCGAAGCCAGUGGCCUAACCGCAAGGAUGGA